rnacentral:rRNA from 1 species
GACGAACGCUGGCGGCGCGCUUAACACAUGCAAGUCGAGCGAGAACCGGUCCUUCGGGACCGGGGAAAGCGGCGAACGGGUGAGUAACACGUGGGUAAUCAACCCUCGGUACCGGGAUAGCCCGAGGAAACUCGGAUUAAUACCGGAUGGCCCAACAGCCUUUCGAGGCGGUUGGAAAAGGUAGCUUCGGCCUCCGACCGAGGACGAGCCCGCGCCCGAUUAGCUUGUUGGCGGGUAAUGGCCCACCAACCCGACGAUCCGUAGCUGGUCUGAGAGGACGAUCAGCCACACUGGGACUGAGACACGGCCCAGACUCCUACCGAGGCAGCAGUGGGGAAUCUUGCACAAUGGGCGAAAGCCUGAUGCAGCGACGCCGCGUGAGGGAAGAAGGCAAACGGGUUGUAAACCUCUUUCAGGAGGGACGAAGCUACUCGGGUUAAUAGCCCAGAGGGUGACGGUACCUUCAGAAGAAGCCCCGGCUAACUACGUGCCAGCAGCCGCGGUAAUACGUAGGCGCAAGCGUUGUCCGGAUUUAUUGGGCGUAAAGAGCGUGUAGGCGGCCAGGUAGGUCCGUUGUGAAAACUCGAGGCUCAACCCGGAAGACGCCGAUGGAAACCCCCUGGCUAGAGUCCGGAAGAGGAGAGUGGAAUUCUUGGUGGCGGCAACGGUAGCGGUGAAUGCGCAGAUAUCAGGAAGAACACCCGGGGCUAAGGCGGCUGGCCUCUAGUACGGUACUGACGCUGACGCGAAAGCGUGGGAGCGAACAGGAUUAGAUACCCUGGUAGUCCACGCCGUUUACGAUGGGUGCUAGGUGUGGGGGGUGUCGCUCGGUCCGUGCCGAAGCUAACGCAUUAAGCACCCCGCCUGGGAGUACGGCCGCAAGGCCCCUGUAAGGGAGACUCAAAGGAAUUGACGGGGGCCCGCACAAGCAGCGGAGCAUGUGGUUUAGAAAUUCGACGCGAAGAACCUUACCUGGGCUGACAUGCACGGGCAUGUCCGGAAACAGAGCCUCCCGCAACGAGCCGACUCCCAUGAGCGUGAAAGACGGGGACUCAUGGGAGACUGCCGGUGACAAUCGGAGGGUGGGGAUGACGUCAAGUAGCAUGACCCUUAUGUCUAGGGCUACACACGUGCUACAUUGGCCGGUAC